rnacentral:rRNA from 1 species
CCUACGGGAGACAGCAGUGGGGAAUAUUGCACAAUGGGCGAAAGCCUGAUGCAGCAACGCCGCGUGAAGGAAGAAGGGUUUCGGCUCGUAAACUUCUAUCAACAGGGACGAAAGAAAUGACGGUACCUGAAUAAGAAGCCCCGGCUAACUACGUGCCAGCAGCCGCGGUAAUACGGAGGGGGCAAGCGUUAUCCGGAAUUACUGGGUGUAAAGGGUGAGUAGGCGGCAUGGUAAGCCAGAUGUGAAAGCCUUGGGCUUAACCCGAGGAUUGCAUUUGGAACUAUCAAGCUAGAGUACAGGAGAGGAAAGCGGAAUUCCUAGUGUAGCGGUGAAAUGCGUAGAUAUUAGGAAGAACACCAGUGGCGAAGGCGGCUUUCUGGACUGAAACUGACGCUGAGGCACGAAAGCGUGGGGAGCGAACAGGAUUAGAUACCCCAGUAGUC